UACGAAGGGGGCUAGCGUUGUUCGGAAUUACUGGGCGUAAAGCGCACGUAGGCGGACUUUUAAGUCAGGGGUGAAAUCCCGGGGCUCAACCCCGGAACUGCCUUUGAUACUGGAAGUCUCGAGUAUGGUAGAGGUGAGUGGAGUUCCGAGUGUAGAGGCGAAAUUCGUAGAUAUUCGGAAGAACACCAGUGGCGAAGGCGGCUCACUGGACCAUUACUGACGCUGAGGUGCGAAAGCGUGGGGAGCAAACAGG
rnacentral:rRNA from 1 species